GACGAGGGGUCCAAGCGUUGUUCGGAAUCAUUGGGCGUAAAGCGGGUGUAGGUGGCUCUAUAAGUCAGAAGUGAAAGCCCCGGGCUUAACCCGGGAAGUGCUUUUGAUACUGCAGAGCUUGAGUGUGGGAGAGGAAAGUGGAAUUCCUGGUGUAGCGGUGAAAUGCGUAGAUAUCAGGAGGAACACCGGUGGUGUAAACGGCUUUCUGGACCAUAACUGACGCUGAGGCACGAAAGCGUGGGUAGCAAACAGG
rnacentral:rRNA from 1 species